AGGCCCUUAGCCAAGUUGGUAAGGCACGGGACUCUGAAUCCCGCAUGCGCUGGUUCGACCCCAGCAGGGCCCU
rnacentral:tRNA from 1 species